rnacentral:rRNA from 1 species
ACGGGGGGAGCAAGCGUUGUUCGGAUUUACUGGGCGUAAAGGGCGCGUAGGCGGCCACCGCAAGUCGACUGUGAAAUCUCCGGGCUUAACCCGGAAAGGUCAGCCGAUACUGCGGGGCUAGAGUGCAGAAGGGGCAACUGGAAUUCUCGGUGUAGCGGUGAAAUGCGUAGAUAUCUGGAGGAAUACCGGUGGCGAAGGCGGCAUCCUGGACCAUUACUGACGCUGAUGCGCGAAAGCUAGGGGAGCAAACGGGA